GUGCAAAAUGUGCCAGUGGGUGGUGCAACAGGUGCCAGUGUGUGUGUGAUGCGACAGGUGUCAGUGUGCGUGGUGCGACAGACAAAUGUUUACUGAGGUGAGUAUAAGCAACCAAUGGGGGCUGCUGAGGGGCCUUGUCUCACUGACCUACUUCUCGCAUUACCUAGUUAAAAUCUCGCACUUCUCGCGCACAUUCUAUCACACCACUCAAACGUGUGCACCCGAGACAGACAGACAGACAGACACACAAACACACACACACAGUGUUUAUAAUAGCCCGUACUGUAUUAACCAAUCAACGCAACACUAUCCCUCAAGUCCACUCUGCAUGGGUGAAAGCAGUUUCUGGGCAUAGGUCGUAAGGUGUACACACACACACACACACACACAGUGGGCCCGGAAAGAGUGCCAAGGUAACUAGUGCAGGAGAAUGGAUGGUCCUCCCACAGCUAAGAUCCCUGGGUCAGCAUCUGGAUACUGGUUCAUUGAACCAAUCCUGUGGCCAAGAUGACUACUGUACUGUACAUAACAUUUCUAAUAUAAUGUUUUUUGAUGUUUGGAAGCCAUGGUGAAGUUCAAGAAGGGUAGAAGGAAACUGUAAUUCUUAAAUAAGGACACCACCACCCUCAGCCAUGAAUUCAAACAAAUGAACUGAAUGACGGAAGCAAUCGGCAUGCCACCAAACAUUAACAACAAACUGGCGAAACUACAAGAUGCUGCCACUUAAUUGGAAGUUUGCAGGGUACAUUAGUAGAAUUUUCAUUCAUGAUUCCAUCCAACCGCACCGUGCUUUAGGAGGUUUGCCGAAUGAAGGAAUACCAAAAUCUGCGCUACUUUUUGGGAUUUGCCAUAUAUUAGAAUGCUGAAUAUGGGAUCUUCAAACUGUAAUGGAUUUAGUGACACAGUGGAGUUUCAAUAUUCUGACACAGUUGGAACCAAGUAAUUUCAGGGUUUCAGAUUUAUUCAUCUUUUAGAGUAAUGAAGCACAAACUGCCCAAGUUUACCAAUGUUGUUUAAUGCACCCUACAUAAUGUUACAAUAUAUGAGUGUGAUAGCGUCCAGGCCAGCAGAUGUUCUAGCAAUAAGCAGGGGAAAUAUUCAUUCCAUUCACUGUAGGAACUGGUGAGGAAGCAGACGAGUGCUCAGUAAAAUUAUAACUUUAUGAAAAUCGGAAAGAAUGCUUAAAUACUGGCUUAGAUUGGCUGUCUGCCCAUUUACAGUUCUCUGAUGUAUCAUUAACAGUUCUGCAAGGGCAUUUGCCUCAGAUAGUUGGGCUACUAUGGUCAAGACAGCAAAGAAACCAAUGAGCAAGCAUUAUUCUUUCAUUCAUGGAUAUCUUCUCCUUGGGUACACACAACCAGUCACCUCUAUCCAUAGCAGUACUACACCAUCCUUGAUCUUUUACUGGAAGCAAUCAAGAGGGAGGAGUAGAUGAAACUUGUCGACAAGAUGACAGUAAAAGCAUAAUUACAAGCUCAAGGACCAGACAAUGGUCAUGCAGGAGCAAGGAAACUGUACUGUAUGUACAGAGCAGCAACACUGAAUACAGUUCUACUACCUGUUGCUCUGCCUGAAAGUAUAAUUUGUGGGAAUAUUGUACUGUACAGUAUUUUGAAAUUAUGCCAGUUUAGAGGAAUGCAAACUGCCAACUAUGAAAAUUCCACUGUAUAUGCAAAUGGUAUUUUAAAAUUUGAACAUUCCCAUUCCUCAUUGUACUCUUGGUUAGAGCUAUUUCCACAUUUUUUCUUCAACAAUACUGUGUUUGUUUGAGCAAGUAUGGUGUACAGUCCCCUUUACUAGUGUGUUUACGGGGGCUCGUCAGAUUUUGUGCAGUGUGGCAGCCCUGUUUAUUAAAAUUUGACAAAGGAAAUUUGGAAUAAUAAAACAUACUAUGGAAUGAAAGUAAAACAAUAUUAAAACAAUCAUCUCAAUGAAAUGAUUUGUGGAAUGUUUAAAUGAUGAGCCCCUAUUGUUUAAUGUAUCCUACAUAAUGUUAAUAUAUACAGGAUAUGAAAGGGAUAGCAUCAGGGCAGCAGAUGUUCUAGCAAAAAGCAAGUAGGCCACUGCAAUUGCAUGCCCUAGAUGCUCCUGUAAAUGAAAAAUAAUCACUGAACUAUGCAGUAGCUAUCUGGUUUUAUCAGGAAUUGAUCACAAAGAAUUACUGAACUUAUCUUUGUUCUUGGCAAAAUCAGAGAGUUCUGUGAUGAUUUUUUAUUUAUUCACCAAUACAUAUGGUGCAUGAGUAUGCAGAGGCCUACUUGGUGUUACCCAGCAAGGUUUACAUUCUACAGCAUUCUAAAAUAGCAACAUUUAAAAGAAAAAGCUGUGGGUGUACAAUUCUUUAAAAGCCUAAAGUAGAGGAUAAGGAGAGGGUCUCCACUUUAUAUAUAUACAUACAGUAUUAAUAUUUAACAGGAUCUUAACAGAUACUAAAUAUUAAUUAAUGCAAACCCCUGAAGAAACAAGGAAACCAAACUAAUAUUUAGUCAAUGAGACUAUGGUAUUAUAAUAAUAAUAAUAACAGAUGGUCUUUUGUUUCUCAAAAGUGCUAGGUCUCCUAAAGAAUUCACUAGUGCUCAAAAUACUGUACUGGUCAAGAAUCUGAGAAUAAAAAAGAAAAAAUCACAAAAAGUGAGUCUGUAUAUCCUUAAGUUGUAACACUUCCUGAACCCAGUAAUUAUCCAUAAGAUCAUAAGAAUAGAGGAAACUGCAGCGGGCCUAUUAGCCCAUACUGGGCAGUCCC